rnacentral:lncRNA from 10 species
CUCACAUAGAGAGAGUCACACAGAUCAGGAACCUUAAGUCCAGAAACCUUUUGUGCUGCCUAUGAAGUAUAGACCUAGUGUUUCAGCAACUGUGGAGCUGUCAUCAGCAAGAGAGGAAGGCCUAGAAGGAAAAAGAAUGAAUAUUCAUACAACAAAUGCCGCCCAGAGAAGCUGGGAAAAUAACUGAUAAACCAAUAUAUUUGGCUGAGGUAUUACACAUGAUUGAAAGAAAAAGACAUUAAAAUAUGGAUGGGUGGAAGGCAUUUCAGGAGGAACUAGUCACCAGAUGAAAUGGAACUAUACCAGAUUAUGAGAAAAUGAAGAUCAGCAGUACAGAAUCCUUGCCCUUCAAGAGAACACAGUCUACAUGGGGAGACAUUUGGCAAAACACUUUUCACCACUGUGUGGUAGGUUCUAUGAAAGAGCGGCACAGCAAGCCAGGGAAGCACCAUGGGAGGAGGGAUAAAGAUGCACCUAGCUAUGUCUUCAAAGGUUGAGAAAAUGUUAGCCAGAAGUAGCAAUAGAAAAGUGUGUGGAAGCAUGGAGACUUUACAGAGAGUGGUGGUUGUAACCAGUUCUGUAUUAGAAGAGCAAAGAAUACACACUGAGAAAAUGACUUGGAGAACUAGGAUGGGGUCUAGAGUACAUAUACAAUGGUGAUAAGUUUCAGUGUCAUUUUGAAAGCAAUAAUGAGAUGCUAAUGGAUUUUUGUUAGUCAUAACAGUAUGGAGAGUAGUUUUCAGGAAAGGAAAUUAAA